GGGAUUGUGGCUCAGUGGUAGAGUGCAAGACUUGUGCGUGUGAAGCACUGGGUUCAAUCCCCAGCACCA
rnacentral:tRNA from 1 species